UUAAAGACAACGGUGCAAACGAUAUUCUGCAACAUUUCCCUGACUCCUCAAACCGAGCUGGACGUGUGUGUGCCAGGCAAAUUGGGCAUACUGCUGCAGUCGUACUCACACAACAAUAAGCUGCUAUAUAUAUAUAGUCAAUAAGCGGCUCUGCAGGAGAAUUUCUUCCCAAAGAAUUCGUACCUGCGAGAAAAGUCUCUGCAAAACCAGCAAGGAAGGAGUUAAGAGAGUCCAACUGGUGCUAACCAAUCACUCCAGUCACAUAGCACCUGAGGGGGGUGCUGCAUUUAUCAGGCUGGUCUGAACACCCACACACACACACACACUGCAGCGCGUGCACGCACACAAUCGCACACCCACACACACGCUCGCGCAGAGAAAGACACACACAAACAUUGGGAGGGUGAGCCCAAACUAGCUGAGCUGCAUUCACAAGUCAGCGCAGAGCCUCUGACUUCUUCACCUCUCAGCUAUGCUCUGCUUUUCUUUUUGAAAGUGCCGCUCGAUCUCCCCUUUUGACAAGCUACGAAAAAAAAAAGGGGGAAAACACACAAUGCAGAGACACCUAAAGAAUGAACCCGGAAUCACUCCUAUGACGAGGGAUCGUGCAACUGAGAAAGUCAGCAUUGUGAGAUUGUCGCCUCGCUGGAAUAAAUUGGUUUGUGAAUAAAUGA